AAUGAACGUUGGCGGCGUGGAUUAGGCAUGCAAGUCGAGCGAGAAUGGUCUGGUAGCUUGCUAUUGGACCAGGAAAGCGGCGAAAGGGAGAGUAACGCGUAGUUACGUGCCCCAGGGUUCGGAAUAGCCACGGGAAACUGUGGGUAAUGCCGAAUAACAUCUCCGGAUCAAAGGUGUGAUUCCGCCCUGGGAGCGGACUGCGUCCUACUAGCUAGUUGGCGGGGUAAUGGCCCACCAAGGCAACGAUGGGUAGCGGGUGUGAGAGCAUGACCCGUCUCACUGGGACUGAGACACUGCCCAGACACCUACGGGUGGCUGCAGUCGAGAAUCUUCGGCAAUGAGCGCAAGCUUGACCGAGCGACGCCGCGUGCGGGAUGAAGGCCCUCGGGUUGUAAACCGCUGUCGUAGGGGAGGAAAUCAAUCGGGGUUCUCCCCGGUAGUUGACCUAUCCUAGGAGGGAGUACGGGCUAAGUACGUGCCAGCAGCCGCGGUAAAAC
rnacentral:rRNA from 1 species